GACGAACGCUGGCGGCGUGCUUAACACAUGCAAGUCGAACGGAAAGGCCCUGCUUUUGUGGGGUGCUCGAGUGGCGAACGGGUGAGUAACACGUGAGUAACCUGCCCUUGACUUUGGGAUAACUUCAGGAAACUGGGGCUAAUACCGGAUAGGAGCUCCUGCUGCAUGGUGGGGGUUGGAAAGUUUCGGCGGUUGGGGAUGGACUCGCGGCUUAUCAGCUUGUUGGUGGGGUAGUGGCUUACCAAGGCUUUGACGGGUAGCCGGCCUGAGAGGGUGACCGGCCACAUUGGGACUGAGAUACGGCCCAGACUCCUACGGGAGGCAGCAGUGGGGAAUAUUGCACAAUGGGCGGAAGCCUGGUGCAGCAACGCCGCGUGCGGGAUGACGGCCUUCGGGUUGUAAACCGCUUUCGCCUGUGACGAAGCGUGAGUGACGGUAAUGGGUAAAGAAGCACCGGCUAACUAUGUG
rnacentral:rRNA from 1 species